rnacentral:misc_RNA from 1 species
UACGUCGGGCGCGAGCGUUAUCCGGAAUUAUUGGGCGUAAAGAGCUCGUAGGCGGUUUGUCACGUCUGCUGUGAAAGCCCGGGGCUUAACCCCGGGUGUGCAGUGGGUAAGGGCAGACUAGAGUGCAGUAGGGGGGACCGGAAUUCCUGGUGUAGCGGUGAAAUGCGCAGAUAUCAGGAGGAACACCGAUGGCGAAGGCAGGUCUCUUGGCCGUUACUGACGCUGAGGAGCGAAAGCAUGGGUAGCGAACAGG